rnacentral:rRNA from 1 species
AACGAACGCUGGCGGCAUGCCUAACACAUGCAAGUCGAACGAGACCUUCGGGUCUAGUGGCGCACGGGUGCGUAACGCGUGGGAACCUGCCUUUAGGUUCGGAAUAACAGUGAGAAAUUACUGCUAAUACCGGAUGAAAGCGGGGGAUCGCAAGACCUCGCGCGAUUGGAGCGGCCGAUGUCAGAUUAGCUAGUUGGUGGGGUAAAGGCCCACCAAGGCGACGAUCUGUAGCUGGUCUGAGAGGACGACCAGCCACACUGGGACUGAGACACGGCCCAGACUCCUACGGGAGGCAGCAGUGGGGAAUUUUGGACAAUGGGCGCAAGCCUGAUCCAGCAAUGCCGCGUGCAGGAAGAAGGCCUUCGGGUUGUAAACUGCUUUUGUACGGAACGAAAAAGUCCGGGUUAAUACCCUGGGCCCAUGACGGUACCGUAAGAAUAAGCACCGGCUAACUACGUG